ensembl:lncRNA
CCCGUCUCUGUCAUAACAUCAGGCUGAUUCCUGCGUCCCGGCUGCCAAGUUCUUUAUGGUGGAGUUGGCUUCAGGCAACAGACCCACAAGCCCUAUGGACACUUAUUUCAUGCCAAGUUUUUAUUCUGUCUCCAUUCUCCUCCCUGUAUCCAAGUCCAGCUCCCGAGGUAAGUUGUACCAGGCACAUAACAUCCCAUAAAAGCAGUGAUCAAGAAGAGGUUUUCAGCUCACAGAUAGCCUUGUAUCUGCAGCUACUGCUGCUUCACACUGACUCUGGUGGUAAUUUCUUACGAAUUUCAUCAGAGUUGCUUAGGAACCCUUAUUGGGAGGUUGAUUCUGAAGCUACUUGCUUCGCUGGCUAUAUCUUUGUUAUUCUCCACUUGAAAAUAUCUGGCACAAAUAAAGCAUUUGACAGUGAUAGAAGAGGAAGCCUUUUUUCACCCGCACAUCUACAUUGCUAUUGCUAAUCCUAAAUUCCUCCCUUGUAGUUUUUCAUACAGCUUUUUAUUGUUUAAUUAUUUUUUUUGAGAUGAGGUCUCAUUCUGUUAUCCAGGAUGGAGUGCAGUGGCACAAUUGUAGUUCAUUGCAGCCUCAAACUCUUGGACUCAAAGUGUCCUCCUGCCUCAGCCUCUCGAGGAGUAGCUGUACAGAUAAGCACCACACUAUCCAGCUAAUUAACAAUUUAUUUUUUUUUUUAACAAUGAGGGGUCUUACUGUAUUGCCUCAUGCAAUCCUCGUGCCUCAGCCUCCCAAGUAGCUGGGAUUAUAGGUGUGAUUAUAGGUGUGAGCGGUCACAUUUGGAUCAUAUCUUAUUUUUUGUAUGAGAAUUUUCUCACUGAAUACUUUUCAUUACUCAGUAAGGUGUGAUGCUUGGGGUGAUUUUUCCCGUUAUGGCUCCUUCUGCAGACACAUUUGCUUUGGACUACUCCAAAUUUUAAACAUCUCUGAGCAGCUUCUGUGGAAGGAGAAGCAAUUCUAAUUUUUAAAAUAUCAAGACAUCAAAAUUGAAACCCUGUGUGGUUAAUGGAAGUGGAGUGGCUACACAUAGAGCAUGUAGAAAGUUCUUAGUAAGAACUCACUGAGGACAAAUUUCAAGUCAUAUACUAAAUAUGUUGAUAGUGAUCCAUGCUCAGGCUCUGGGUACAAUCUUUCAGUGGUUCCAGGCAUCUUGCAGAGUAAAGGUAAGGUUUCUUGUUGUGACAUUUCAGAGCCUCCACGAUGCAGCUCUGGCCAUCCCUUCUGCCCACACAUUUGAGAACUAGUUUCCUACACGCCAGGCUAUUUCAUAUUUUUGUGUCUCCCUAUGUUGUCCCUUUACCUGGGAAAAUACCUUUCUUCCAUAUUUUCCAUUCAUCAAAUCAGCUUAGGUAUGAUCUUUUUAGAAAGAAACAUUCGCCAGACAUCCUCUGGACCAAGAUGGACUAAGUAACCCUUGUUUCUAUCCCCCACCCCAGACAGCAUCCAAUUUCUACUUCUUAAAUGGGAAUCAUGCACAGUAUUACAUAAGAAUUGUUUGCACUGUCUGUUUCCAUUCCUCCUUUGUGUUUCUGGAAAUCAACCCCAUGUCUGACACAGGGUACGUUUAGAUAUGCAUUUGUUGCAACAGCACACACAGAACAACAAACAGAUGAACAACAGCCACAAAUAGACAAAUGCCAGUGUAAUCAGAAAGAGUGCAAGGAUUGAAAACUCAUUUCAACUUUAGUGUAGAUAAAAAUUCCAUCAUGCCUACCACUACAAGACUUCUCUUCCAUACACAUGGAUUUUGGCCAUUUCUCUCCUCAAAAGUGGCAUUUCUGUGCUCUUCUUUGCCUACUGGAUAAAAUCAAAAUGCUUUAGGAAGGCACAGAAAAUCUUCUGAGUUACAGCCUUUCAUCUUCCUGUCUCGUUUUCUUCUACUCAUUCUGUGCCUUCAAGUUUUAACCGCUUCUUAGCUGUGUGAUUUUGAGGUAAUUACUUCUUUCGGUGUCUCAGUUUUUCAUUUAUAAAAUGGGAAUAAAUUGUAUCUAUUUUGUAAUAUUAAGUGAUAUUAUUAUAUAAAAUACUUGCUCCAGAAC